GGUGGCUCAGUGGUAGAGCACUUGCCUUGAACGCAUGAGGCCCUGGGUUCAAUUCCUCAGCACCA
rnacentral:tRNA from 1 species